rnacentral:lncRNA from 1 species
GGAUGAUGUAUUUGACAGAUUUUAGAUUAAACAUGACAUUUUGUACUCUGACACUUUAUUAUAAAGAGAUUGCGCAAGAUCAAAAUGACCUCUUGCGUUCUGUUCUGUUCUCAACCUUUUAGUUAAUGGUAUGAAUAGCCAACAAGAUUGAUUUUAAAUUUAUGUUUAAGACAGAUAUAAGAAGAUGUGGUAUGAGAAAACUCUACACCCAAGUCAUAAUUUGUAAAAGUAUACUAUCAUAGGUCAAAGUAUUGUCUUCAACAUGGAGCCUUGGAUCAAACCGAACAGCAAGCUAUAAAGGUCCUUAAAAAACUAGUGAGCACAUUUUUCUUGCUUUGCUUACAAGCAUAGUUAUUAAAUCCAUUCAUUUCUUACAUUUUUUGGUAAAUGAUGACUGAAUUCACAUAAAAGAUGCACAUGCAAAAUCAUAUAUGUUGUUUAGUUGUUUAUCAUUAAUCAUUGUCAAUGACAUUGAUAUGCUUAAACAAUGCAUUUGUUUUCCGCAUAUGUUUUUAACUAAUUACCAGCAAUAAUCCACUAGAUAUAUAGAGAUGGAUGACCUAGGGAUAUGUAAAUUUUCAAAUCCUACAUGUUUUUUUUUUUCUUUUUUCAAUAUUUUCCUUUUUUAAAACAAUUUUCCUAUCUUCUUAUGAGAGGGGGUAGGAGGGGUCCUGCUCUGAAAUCCGGCUUAAAAACAUGAAAUCCUGAGGUCCCGAAUCUAAAUAAAUUAAAAUCACGACAUCCCGAAAUUCGAAAAAAGAAUUCCCAGAUCCCGAAAGGGUCAAUACCCAAAUCCCUAGCUUAAAAACACCGGAUCCUGAAGUCCCGAUAAAGGUCCUAUCCCCCUCUCUUAUACAAUGCCACGGUAUGGAUGCCAAUGAGACAUUAACUCUACACAAGAAACUAAAUAACAUCAAAGUUAACAACCAUAGGACACCAUACGCUUUCAACAAUGAAAAAACCUGAUCCCUCGUAAUGUAAGCUAUAAAAUGCAUUGAAGUUAUCUUUUCUUUAUAUAAAUGUUAUAGCGUUGAUUCAAGACUAUUUUCAUAUUAAUGACUUUUGACCCUGAAUGAUAUAAUUUUUUGACUGGUUACCAUUUCUCACUCACAGUGGUUGUUCAUCCUGAUACCAAGUUAGGUAAGAGCAAGCUAAAGAAGUCAAACCAAGCUUUCAAACGGUAAAACUUUGGGGGAAAAUUAAGUGCGUAACAUUUUCUUGACAUGACAAAAUCAUCUAAAACAGUAAAACAGUAAACUUUCCCCUCAAAUUCCAACGAUUAUAUAUUUGAUUUUACUUCUUUUGGUUGCUCUUACAUGACCGAGUACCAGGAUGUAUAAACACGGAAAAGGUAAGGCCAAAUAAAAUAGUAUGUGUGGUUCCAGUUACAUCUGAAAAAAAGUUAGGGUAGGUAGGUAGGAAUUUUUUUUUAUUUUAUGGUUUUUUUUUUACAUUGAGUUUAUGGGAGCAUCAUUCUGACUAAUAGUGCUUGAUGAAAAAUGACAAUAAAAUCUUUAGGGUCGGCUAAUUUCAAGACGAAAAAGUAGGGAAAGUAGAGUCACUGGAACCACACAUAUAUUUUUAUUUGGCCUAACCUGUUAAAAAAUUAUAUAAUCUGGAGUCAAGAGUAAAAAGUCAGUAAUAUGGAAAUGGUAAUUGGAUAGCCAUCUAUGCAUCAUUUCUGAUGUGAUGAUGUUGUUGAGUUGUAUUUUAUCUCAUUAUUAUGAUAUAAUAUGAGCCAUGCAUAAAAGUUAAUGAAACUGACAGUAUCAGUUGA